UACAUCCUAUUCUGCUCUGUUUAUAAAAGCACUGGAGUAUCUGAGAACAGCUCUGCUGACUGGAUAUGAGGUUGUGAGCAAUCCAGGGCACCCCUGAGCAGAUGUCUUUGCUGCUUGACACAUGAGAUGUAAGUGGCCCUCCCAGCGGGCACUCAAGUCUUCUGUGGCAUUGAGCCACACUGAAUGGAUGACAGCCAAGCAGCUCCUCCACCCAUCCAUGUCAGGCUUGGAGUCAUGAUAAAGAAAGAAGGGAAAUGAUGUCCUCUGACUGUCCUGAGUCUGUUACUGCUGAAUGGCUGGUGCUGAUACGAUUUUGGCCUUGUGACCACAUGCAUGUCCUCUACUUUCAGAGCACAACACUUUAAAUACUUUUUGCAAUGGAUGAAAAUUCAACCAGGAAGAAAAGGUAUGAGUCAGAGUGUCUGACCACUUGGGGGACAUAGAAUGUUCAGUUCUUCAUAAGGUCCUAUAACCUAAUAUUUGGGGAAUGGUAAAAGAAAAAACUAUGAUGGCUAUAAAAUCUGGGGUCCUAAAGCACAGUUUUAAAUCAGGUUAAAGAUAGUGGGAUACAGCGACACUACAGUGACAUUUUAUGGUUUUACUAUCUGUGACCAAGGUAUGACCAGUUCGUGCUGAUAAAUAUGGACCUGCAGUGGUAUGCCGCCUCUUCAGGAGUUCUAUUAGUAUUCCUUUCUGUAAACAUCAACGUCAUGUUCCCUUUUCACACUAUCUGAAUGUCAAGACCCAUUUAGGUUCUACACAAACAGACUUGAGAAGACACUAAGUUAAAACACAUGCUGUAUAAUAAGGUAGUAUGACUUACUGAAAUAAACAAAACAAGGUCUUAUACUCAUGAUCGGGGUGGUCUAAGCUGGGAGUGGUGGCUCAUGACUGUAAUCCCAGUACCUGGGAAGCUGAGACAAGAGGACUGUUGGGAGUUUGAGACUGACCUGGGCUACAUAGUGAGUUCUAGAUCAGCCUGAGCUAUAGUGUGAGACUCUGUCUUAAAAAGUCAAACAAGCGAAAUGGGUUAAUCUGGUUCCAGCACUAGUGUGAUCUGGUAGCUGCUGCUCUAGA